rnacentral:rRNA from 1 species
AUUGAACGCUGGCGGCAGGCCUAACACAUGCAAGUCGAACGGUAGCACAGAGAGCUUGCUCUCGGGUGACGAGUGGCGGACGGGUGAGUAACGUCUGGGAAACUGCCCGAUGGAGGGGGAUAACUACUGGAAACGGUAGCUAAUACCGCAUAACGUCGCAAGACCAAAGUGGGGGACCUUCGGGCCCCACACCAUCGGAUGUGCCCGGAUGGGAUUAGCUAGUAGGUGGGGUAAUGGCUCACCUAGGCGACGAUCCCUAGCUGGUCUGAGAGGAUGACCAGCCACACUGGAACUGAGACACGGUCCAGACUCCUACGGGAGGCAGCAGUGGGGAAUAUUGCACAAUGGGCGCAAGCCUGAUGCAGCCAUGCCGCGUGUAUGAAGAAGGCCUUCGGGUUGUAAAGUACUUUCAGCGGGGAGGAAGGCGGUGAGGUUAAUAACUUCACCGAUUGACGUUACCCGCAGAAGAAGCACCGGCUAACUCCGUGCCAGCCGCCGCCGUAA